rnacentral:rRNA from 1 species
GAUGAACGCUGGCGGCGUGCUUAACACAUGCAAGUCGAACGAUGAUGCCCAGCUUGCUGGGUGGAUUAGUGGCGAACGGGUGAGUAACACGUGAGUAACCUGCCCUUGACUCUGGGAUAAGCCUGGGAAACUGGGUCUAAUACCGGAUACGACCAUCUGGCGCAUGUCAUGGUGGUGGAAAGCUUUUGUGGUUUUGGAUGGACUCGCGGCCUAUCAGCUUGUUGGUGGGGUAAUGGCCUACCAAGGCGACGACGGGUAGCCGGCCUGAGAGGGUGACCGGCCACACUGGGACUGAGACACGGCCCAGACUCCUACGGGAGGCAGCAGUAGGGAAUAUUGCACAAUGGGCGCAAGCCUGAUGCAGCGACGCCGCGUGAGGGAUGACGGCCUUCGGGUUGUAAACCUCUUUCAGUAGGGAAGAAGCGAAAGUGACGGUACCUGCAGAAGAAGCGCCGGCUAACUACGUG